UAUAUGAGGACACGAAAGUUUGUUUGAUUUUUUAAACCUAAGGCAGUAAAAAUUGCUAACAUUGUUGAUUUGUUUUUAAGCCAGGCUCCUAUUUUCCAAGCUAAAUGACCAUGAUGUUACCUACUUCCUAGGGCUGCUAUGAGAACUGAAUGAACCAGUUGCUUGUGUAAAGCACUAGACACGUAGUAAUGAUAACCGUGCGUGCAAAAGACUUUACAUUAGAUUGUUUAAUAGAAAUACCCUUAGCUUGUGAGUGAAGUUGGCCUGACAGAAAGUUUGCACUCAACAGGAGGCGAGGGGCUUCGGUUCUCUGGAUGCUCAGCAUCCCAGGUGUGGCUGACAAGGAUGACCCUCUCCUGGCUGCACUGCGAAAUGGCCUUUGCAUGGACAUUAUACGGAAGGACAAGGCAGCAGAUAAGGAAACCAUAGUCCCACAGAAUAUAGUUUAGAUGGGGGCAUUUUUAUAUUUAAAGUGACUAAAAAUAGGAAUCUGGAUUAAAUAUCUUCCCCAAUGCUAAGUUCCAUCAUUUUGUUGGAGGGAAUAGAAGCACGGACACACACAUGCUGGUUGCCUACCAGAUUCCAGCUGGUCCUUCAUACUAUAUUCUAGAAUCAUGUGCUCAAUUCUCUGGCUCAUGGGAAUUUUUUCCUUCUAUCACAGCAUCUCCUCCCCUCCAUGGGCAGUGUGAGUUGAUGAUCCUUACUCUGCUUUUUCAGACCCACCUGUUAUUUUUUUUUUGGCAGAAGCACAGCUUUCAACACCUCUCUGAAGAAGGCAUAGGACAGCAGAAAGUACAUGCUUUGGCAACUUCCGAUGAACAAUUUUAGAUAUCAACUUAAAGUGGGAUGGGACACCUGGUUUUGGAACAACUUCUAGGAAGUACACGGCUUUACAACACUGCCCAGGUGAGGCUGGGGGGGCGGCCUGGAAUACAGUUACCUGGGAAGGGAGGGAGGCUGCUUGUUAGGAAGAUGCAGAUUCCUGGGCUCCACCCAGAUUGAGUUAUAUAGGUUUGGGUUGGACCCUAAGUAAGUCAAUUUUCAACAUGCACCCCUGCUGGUUGUCAUGCAAACUA